GAUGAACGCUGGCGGCGUGCCUAAUACAUGCAAGUCGAGCGAACAGACGAUGAGCUUGCUCCUCUGACGUUAGCGGCGGACGGGUGAGUAACACGUGGAUAACCUACCUAUAAGACUGGGAUAACUUCGGGAAACCGGAGCUAAUACCGGAUAACAUGUUGAACCGCAUGGUUCAACAGUUAAAGACGGUUUUGCUGUCACUUAUAGAUGGAUCCGCGUCGCAUUAGCUAGUUGGUAAGGUAACGGCUUACCAAGGCAACGAUGCGUAGCCGACCUGAGAGGGUGAUCGGCCACACUGGAACUGAGACACGGUCCAGACUCCUACGGGAGGCAGCAGUAGGGAAUCUUCCGCAAUGGGCGCAAGCCUGACGGAGCAACGCCGCGUGAGUGAAGAAGGUCUUCGGAUCGUAAAACUCUGUUAUUAGGGAAGAAAAACUGUGUAAGUAACUAUGCACGUCUUGACGGUACCUAAUCAGAAAGCCACGGCUAACUACGUG
rnacentral:rRNA from 1 species